rnacentral:rRNA from 1 species
CCUACGGGCGGCAGCAGUGAGGAAUAUUGGUCAAUGGGCGCGAGCCUGAACCAGCCAAGUCGCGUGAGGGAUGACGGUCCUACGGAUUGUAAACCUCUUUUGCCGGGGAGCAAGCGUGCGUUCGUGAACGCACGUCGAGAGUACCCGGAGAAAAAGCAUCGGCUAACUCCGUGCCAGCAGCCGCGGUAAUACGGAGGAUGCGAGCGUUAUCCGGAUUUAUUGGGUUUAAAGGGUGCGUAGGCGGAAUGCCAAGUCAGCGGUAAAAUCGCGGGGCUCAACCUCGCUCUGCCGUUGAAACUGGCGUUCUUGAGUGGGCGAGAAGUAUGCGGAAUGCGUGGUGUAGCGGUGAAAUGCAUAGAUAUCACGCAGAACUCCGAUUGCGAAGGCAGCAUACCGGCGCCCAACUGACGCUGAAGCACGAAAGCGUGGGUAUCGAACAGGAUUAGAUACCCUGGUAGUC